AAAAAAGUAACAAGGUCUCCGUAGGUGAACCUGCGGAGGGAUCAUUACACAAAUAUGAAGGCGGGCUGGAACCUCUCGGGGUUACAGCCUUGCUGAAUUAUUCACCCUUGUCUUUUGCGUACUUCUUGUUUCCUUGGUGGGUUCGCCCACCACUAGGACAAACAUAAACCUUUUGUAAUUGCAAUCAGCGUCAGUAACAAAUUAAUAAUUACAACUUUCAACAACGGAUCUCUUGGUUCUGGCAUCGAUGAAGAACGCAGCGAAAUGCGAUAAGUAGUGUGAAUUGCAGAAUUCAGUGAAUCAUCGAAUCUUUGAACGCACAUUGCGCCCUUUGGUAUUCCAAAGGGCAUGCCUGUUCGAGCGUCAUUUGUACCCUCAAGCUUUGCUUGGUGUUGGGCGUCUUGUCUCUAGCUUUGCUGGAGACUCGCCUUAAAGUAAUUGGCAGCCGGCCUACUGGUUUCGGAGCGCAGCACAAGUCGCACUCUCUAUCAGCAAAGGUCUAGCAUCCAUUAAGCCUUUUUCAACUUUGACCUCGGAUCAGGUAGGCUGCCCG
rnacentral:rRNA from 1 species